rnacentral:rRNA from 1 species
AUUGAACGCUGGCGGCAUGCUUUACACAUGCAAGUCGAACGGCAGCGCGGGCUUCGGCCUGGCGGCGAGUGGCGAACGGGUGAGUAAUACAUCGGAACGUGCCCAGUAGUGGGGGAUAGCUCGGCGAAAGCCGGAUUAAUACCGCAUACGACCUGAGGGUGAAAGCGGGGGAUCUUCGGACCUCGCGCUAUUGGAGCGGCCGAUGGCAGAUUAGCUAGUUGGUGGGGUAAAGGCCUACCAAGGCGACGAUCUGUAGCUGGUCUGAGAGGACGACCAGCCACACGGGGACUGAGACACGGCCCAGAAUCCUACGGGAGGCAGCAGUGGGGAAUUUUGGACAAGGGGCGAAAGCCUGAUCCAGCAAUGCCGCGUGUGUGAUGAAGGCCUUCGGGUUGUAAAGCACUUUUGGCGGGAACGAAAAGGACUGUGCCAAUACCACGGUUCGAUGACGGUACCCGCAGAAUAAGCACCGGCUAACUACGU